rnacentral:lncRNA from 1 species
GUGCGCGGCCUUCACCGAGCGCAGAAGGGGAAUGGCAACUCCAAAUGGCAUUCAUCAUACUCGCCAUCGGGCAGGUGCCGCACGCUGCCGAAGCGUCUCGAGUUUCCCCACCCCGGGGGGUGUGUGUGGAGCUACCUAGCUGCCAAGUUCAGCACAGCGAGCCCACCCUUCCCGGAGCAGGAUGUCACCCACGUGGCGGUUACGGCACUGUUUCUUUCCAAGGAGUUUAUCUGCUCUGCCCUUUGCUCAUCAAAAUGAGUCUGAAAUCUACCAAGCUGUGAAAUGGACAAAGAACGCUGGCGGGCAUGGCGGGCUGCGACAGAGGCAGACCGUACGAGGAACGUUCGACUGUGGCGUGCAUGAGGACAUUUGGAGAUUCUCCGUGGAUGUUGACCUGUCACCUCUGCCAAGAGCCAGCCCCACUGGGCUGCUGAAUGACCUAAAGAGCGACCCUUUCAGCUGCAACUGUAGCCUGGAAUUAAAUGGAGAUGGCAAAGACAUGGGAACGGGAGACCAGAAAAUGGCAACCAGUCACCUUUGUAUGGAAUCAUCUUUGACCUGGACUGUUUCCAGCGGGCAGUUCUCCAAGGAGCAAGGUCUCUCUGGCAGGGAGCAGGUGGUCCCUGGAGGGCACCAGCAUUGAUGGCCCAGGGCAUGCAAAUUCUGCCACUGACAUAAGUGGGCCCCUGAAUGCCUGCUAAACUGGCUCUACAGUUCAGAUCUGCUGGCAGGGCAGCAGCUAAGAGGUUAGCCUUCGUGAGUAAGAGGGAAAUAGCUCCAGUGAGGCUUCCUAGAAAGGAUUCAUUCAUUCAUUCACUCCUCCAUCAAAUCCUUUGCGAAGCAGAGCUUUGUGCCUGAUCCUGUACUUGAUAAUGACGUUAAGGACGAAGGCAGAUUGCUGCUCAGCCCCCCCCCCCCCCCCCCGGCACAGCGUAUAACAUUCCAGUGCGCAUCAGAGAUAAUAAAUAAGUAAAAACAGUCCCUGAUAAGCGUGAUGAAGGAAACAGGGUCCAGGGAUUGAAAGUAAUCAGGGGACCUAUGGAAGAGGGAUGCUGGGAGGCUUAGCCAAGAAGGAUGCAGCAAUGUGCAGAAGUGGGGUGGGGAUGGGGGAAGGGCUUUAGGGAGAGAGCACAAGCUCAAAGGUGACUAAAUAAAAGGAGUCUGGGCCACUUCAAGAACAGGAAGAUGGAACCGAAGAGGAGAUGGAUGGAAUUAUCAAAGGCUCCACAGGUCAUGAUGAAGAGACUGGAUUUUAAUGCCCAGAGUGACGAGAAAUACUGGAAGAGAGGAGAGACAUGAGCUCAAGAAACCUUCUAAGGGAUGUAAGAACAAUAUCCAGAAGCAAUGGCCAUGAGAACUCAGGACAGUUCUGGAAGCUUUGUCACCC